rnacentral:rRNA from 1 species
UACAGAGGGCUCGAGCGUUAAUCGGAAUCACUGGGCUUAAAGCGUGCGUAGGCGGGUGUGCAGGCAUGUUGUGAAAUCCCAUGGCUCAACCAUGGAAUUGCUUCGUGAACCGCACAUCUUGAGGCUGGUAGAGGCAGUUGGAACGCUAGGUGGAGCGGUGAAAUGCGUAGAUAUCUAGCGGAACGCCGAAGGUGAAGACAAGCUGCUGGGCCAGUCCUGACGCUGAGGCACGAAAGCGUGGGGAGCAAACGGG